rnacentral:rRNA from 1 species
AACGCGUUGGGAGCUCUCCCAUAUGGUCGACCUGCAGGCGGCCGCGAAUUCACUAGUGAUUAGAGUUUGAUCAUGGGUCAGAGCGAACGUUAGCGGCGGGCCUAACACAUGCAAGUCGAACGAGAAUAGGGGAGCAAUCCCCUUAGUAAAGUGGCGGACGGGUGCGUAACACGUGGGUAAUCUACCUUCCGGCGGGGGACAACAGUCCGAAAGGAUUGCUAAUACCGCAUACGUCAGCGAGGUCUACGGACCUUGUUGGGAAAGAUGGCCUCUCCUUGGAAGCUGUCACCGGAAGAUGAGCCCGCGUCCCAUCAGCUAGUUGGCGAGGUAAUGGCUCACCAAGGCUUAGACGGGUAGCUGGUCUGAGAGGAUGAUCAGCCACACUGGGACUGCGACACGGCCCAGACUCCUACGGGAGGCAGCAGUGGGGAAUAUUGGGCAAUGGGCGAAAGCCUGACCCAGCCACGCCGCGUGAGUGAUGAAGGCCUUCGGGUCGUAAAGCUCUGUGGGGAGGGACGAAUAAUUUCCGUGCUAACAUCACGGUGCCCUGACGGUACCUCCUUAGCAAGCACCGGC